UACAGAGGUCCCAAGCGUUGUUCGGAUUCAUUGGGCGUAAAGGGUGUGUAGGUGGCGCCGUAAGUCGGGUGUGAAAUUUCGGAGCUUAACUCCGAAACUGCAUUCGAUACUGCGGUGCUUGAGGACUGGAGAGGAGACUGGAAUUUACGGUGUAGCAGUGAAAUGCGUAGAUAUCGUAAGGAAGACCAGUGGCGAAGGCGGGUCUCUGGACAGUUCCUGACGCUGAGGCACGAAGGCCAGGGGAGCAAACGGG
rnacentral:rRNA from 1 species